UUUUUUUUUUAUAUUCUUUAUUUUUGAACAUGCAUGAGGUUACAUUGCAUCCUGCAUUGCCACAACAACAAAUGCAAGGAUUUGCGGUACAUUCAGUGAUACAUGUGAAGUAAUAGUGAGGACUACUAGAGAUAAUACUUGCAUCAUUUAGGAAAACAGCAUGAAAUUUUAUAUUUAACGAUUAAGCUAGCAACAGUAUUGUAGAUACAACAUGAGUUAGUCAAGGUAAUGUAGACUUAACUAGUGGCUCAUUUUUAAGUUAGAGAUCAUGCAGGCUAAACGUAAACAGGCUUAGUUAGUUAUGUAGCUAUACAGUAGGUUCAGUAACUUCAGUUAAGAUGUAGUGUGGAAUAAGAGUGUACGUUGCUGUGAGUGCCGUAUACAUUGCGCUAACUUGCGGUCACUGGUAGAUACAACUUAUAGAUUAACUUUCAUACUAUGUCUAGGUAGGUCAUAUUAUGAAGACUAGUGGGG